rfam:Oryza glumipatula chromosome 10, whole genome shotgun sequence.
UUACUCCGCAGUCGUGGGUUUCAGUGCCCAACUUUAACCAUCCGUCUUGUUUGAAAUAUUUUUAUGAUUAGUAUUUGUAUUGUUAUUAGAUGAUAAAAUAUGAAUAGUACUUUAUGGGUGUCUUAUUUUUAAAUUUUUUUUAUAUAUUUUGUUUCAAAUAUGGACGGUCAAACAUUAAACAAGGAAACUUACUGAUGCACUCGUA